rnacentral:rRNA from 1 species
AGUGAACGCUGGCGGUAGGCCUAACACAUGCAAGUCGAACGGCAGCACAGUAAGAGCUUGCUCUUACGGGUGGCGAGUGGCGGACGGGUGAGGAAUACAUCGGAAUCUACCUUUUCGUGGGGGAUAACGUAGGGAAACUUACGCUAAUACCGCAUACGACCUACGGGUGAAAUCAGGGGAUCUUCGGACCUUGCGCGAUUGAAUGAGCCGAUGUCGGAUUAGCUAGUUGGCGGGGUAAAGGCCCACCAAGGCGACGAUCCGUAGCUGGUCUGAGAGGAUGAUCAGCCACACUGGAACUGAGACACGGUCCAGACUCCUACGGGAGGCAGCAGUGGGGAAUAUUGGACAAUGGGCGCAAGCCUGAUCCAGCCAUACCGCGUGGGUGAAGAAGGCCUUCGGGUUGUAAAGCCCUGUUGUUGGGAAAGAAAAGCAGCAGGUUAAUACCCCGCUGUUCUGACGGUACCCAAAGAAUAAGCACCGGCUAACUUCGUG